AAAAAGCCCGCUUCUGCGUCAGCAUGAGCGGGCUCGGUGCGGAAAAGCCUGUAGCGUCGCCGGGAAGUGUCGAGUGAAAUGAAACGAUCACCACCGGUUCGCUUUAGCUGUUUCGGGUUCCGAUUGAUAAAACCAUCAAAACCCGCGUCCGCAAGCUGAUCUCAAAUCGACGCAAACCCAAUCCUAUCACGCGUUUUCACGCGUUGC
rnacentral:sRNA from 1 species